GAAAAUUUAAUUUUUGUUUAUAAAUUAAUGAUUUAAUAAAUUUUAUAUAUUAAAUUUAUGUAUUAAAUAUUAGACUUAAUUUAAUAUUUAAUUUUAAUAAAAAAAUGAAAGUUUUUUUAGUUUAUUAUGUUUAAUAAUAUAAAAAUUUAGUGCCAGCAUUAGCGGUUAAACUAAAUUAUUUAAGUUAAUCAAAAUUUAAUAUUAAUAAUUAUUUUUAUUAAAUUGUUAGUUAAAUUAAUAAAUUUUAAUAUGGUGGAAUAUUUAAAUUUAUUAUUUUAAUUAUUAUUUAUUUAGAAUUUUAAUAAAAUUAUAUAAUAAACUAGGAUUAGAUACCCUAUUAUAAUAAUAAAAAAUUUAAUAAUAUUUAAAUAUUAAAUGUUAAAUCAUUAAAUUUAAAAGAUUUGGCGGUAUUUUAUAAAAUUAGAGGAACUUGUAGUGUAAUUGAUGAUCCACGAUAAGAUAUACUUAAUUAAAAUUUAUGUAUUGCUGUUUAAAAAAAUUUUAUUAAAUAAUAAUUUUUAAUUUUUGAUUAAAAAAUAAUUCAAGUCAAAAUAUAGUUUAUUUAAGAAUUUAUGAGUUACAAUUAAUUUAAUUAAUGGUUAAUUUAAUUUAACGUUAUUUUAUAAAUUGGAUUUAAGAGUAAAUUUAGUUAAUUAACUAUUUUGAAAUUUUAAUAAAAUAUGUACAAAUUGCCCGUCACUUUCAAUAAAAUGAAAUAAGUCGUAACAUAGUUUAGGUACUGGAAAGUGCUUAUUGAU
rnacentral:rRNA from 1 species